rnacentral:rRNA from 1 species
UGGGGAAUUUUGGACAAUGGGGGCAACCCUGAUCCAGCAAUGCCGCGUGUGUGAAGAAGGUCUUCGGAUUGUAAAGCACUUUAAGUUGGGAGGAAGGGCAGUAAAUUAAUACUUUGCUGUUUUGACGUUACCGACAGAAUAAGCACCGGCUAACUCUGUGCCAGCAGCCGCGGUAAUACAGAGGGUGCAAGCGUUAAUCGGAAUUACUGGGCGUAAAGCGCGCGUAGGUGGUUCGUUAAGUUGGAUGUGAAAUCCCCGGGCUCAACCUGGGAACUGCAUUCAAAACUGACGAGCUAGAGUAUGGUAGAGGGUGGUGGAAUUUCCUGUGUAGCGGUGAAAUGCGUAGAUAUAGGAAGGAACACCAGUGGCGAAGGCGACCACCUGGACUGAUACUGACACUGAGGUGCGAAAGCGUGGGGAGCAAACAGGAUUAGAUACCCGAGUAGUCCCUGAGCGGGCUGGCAAGGCGCAU